CAUAUAAUCAGAGUUGUUCUCAGCGUGGUACUUGUGGCCUGACUUCAAACCUGAAGCAAGGGUGCCUGCGAUGAUGCCUAGUUUGACCUUGAUCGAGGGCUUAAUUUUUGUAAUCAUGGUGACGCGUACAGCUACAGGUACUCGGCCUGGUAAUCGCAAUAUAUCAAGAUGUAACGCGCUCGUUUCCCUGUGCAAAUAUCCCUAUGUGUGCCUCUGCUUCUGGAGUCUGAAACUCGGUCCUUGGAGGAAUGACUGGUUUCACUUGAAUCCACUCACGCACCAAUGCGACCCCGGAGCAGAGCAAUUCAACUGCAAUGGUUUCCCAACAUUGAGCGAGUGCAACAAAAGGUGUGCAUUUACCAAGACUUCGUCAAAGCAAGUAGAGCGGAAUUAAAAAAGGUUUGCUUCUUUUCAAGAA